rnacentral:rRNA from 1 species
AUUGAACGCUGGCGGCAGGCCUAACACAUGCAAGUCGAGCGGAUGAAGGGAGCUUGCUCCUGGAUUCAGCGGCGGACGGGUGAGUAAUGCCUAGGAAUCUGCCUGGUAGUGGGGGAUAACGUCCGGAAACGGGCGCUAAUACCGCAUACGUCCUGAGGGAGAAGGUGGGGGAUCUUCGGACCUCACGCUAUCAGAUGAGCCUAGGUCGGAUUAGCUAGUUGGUGGGGUAAAGGCCUACCAAGGCGACGAUCCGUAACUGGUCUGAGAGGAUGAUCAGUCACACUGGAACUGAGACACGGUCCAGACUCCUACGGGAGGCAGCAGUGGGGAAUAUUGCACAAUGGGCGAAAGCCUGAUCCAGCCAUGCCGCGUGUGUGAAGAAGGUCUUCGGAUUGUAAAGCUCUUUUAGUUGGGAGGAAGGGCAGUAAGUUAAUCCCUUGCUGUUUUGACGUUACCAACAGAAUAAGCACCGGCUAACUUCGUG